rnacentral:lncRNA from 1 species
GACAGCGGUGAGUAGUUCAUUUGUGGCCAGCACCAUGUGCUUGAAGUGGGAGUAGCACCACCCUGUCGAGGUGACUUGAGCAGAACCUCCAGAAAAUUAUUCAAUUUCGAAUCCUCCAACGCUUGUGCACAAGUCAUCGUGCGAUCAGGUACUGCGACUUCCAUUUCGCGGCGUCCCUUGCUAUUUCCUUCGGGCGAUGAUGCAGAUAGCGAAGCAGCGGCAGCAUCAAAGGUUGUGAGGUCGCAGGAUUUCUUGCUGAUAGUGCUGGAAUCACCAUCACCUUCGUGAGUGUUCAGAGGCCGCUUUUGCCCUCGAGGUUGAUUUGAAUUAAUGCCGGACUUGUUUUGGGACUGUGAUUCAGGCUUUCUGGAAGCUGGAGCCUGCUUGGGUGCCUUAGGUCUGCUCGUUGUCAGUAGCUGAACAUUUCGCCCACUGGCUGCUCUAAGCGGAAAAUUCAGUAGCGCACGGGAUCCCCGGAGCCGAAGAGCGGCAUCGUCAUAUGCGAGCGCU